rnacentral:misc_RNA from 1 species
CGGAGAAACAAACGAAUAAGAAGGUGAAGUAGAGGGAGGAUGAGACAUUACAGGAGAAGGAGAAGACGGAGCCGGAGCAGAAGCCAAGUUGGCGCUAAUACGCAGCGUUUCGCGAACAAGGAGACGUGCCUCCUGUGACGACGGCGUGGAGGUAAGAGUUUGAGCCUUGGGAUUGGGCGAUUGGUUGAUUUUGAUGGGAGGCAUGGUUAAGAGAGAAGUGAGAAUGCGUGGUUUAAUUUAAUCUUAUGAGUGAAGAGAUUUGAGGUAGUGAUGGUUUUAUAGAGGAAAUGAAGAGCUUGGGGAUUAACGAAGAAAGCAUUGUUUGUAGCUGCUGUGAGGAAAUAAAGAGGCAGGUGGCCUAC